ensembl:lncRNA
CCAGAGGGUCUACACAACUCUGGGGCCAAGGGGGGCUGGCCCCUGCUCCCACCAUGGCCUUUGGCUCUGCGAUAUGGCUUUUGGCUAAUGCUCAACCCAACUUUACAAGCAUGGACUGAGAUCUCUCUUUACUUUAAUAUCUCUUUAUUAAGAAACCAAGAUUAAAAUAACUAGAAACAAACCUGAAGAUAAGUAACCUUUGGAAGACAUGUUGGAGAAAAUCUAAAUCUUGAAACACAAUCAUGUCUUCACUGGCUCUUCCCCUGCUCAGCUUUGACAUGAGGCCCUAUUUCUCUUUCAUGAUUCUCUGACUGUGGGGUCCACCCCAUGCCGUCUGUACUCUGAGCCCCGCCUGGGGGUCCUGGCUCUGGGACUUGGGAGUCAUUCUUAGAGCCUCCUUCUAGUACCAGCCCCAGAACCAGAGACCUCCAGGUCCGUCUACUGUCUCUCCCUCAUCCCCACCCUGGGAACAGAGUGAAGGAAAAGGUGCAGGAUGUCCGUCUUCAUACACUCCACUGCUGUUUCCUGUCUGAAACAGCUUUCUCUUUAUGCCAUCGCUGCCUAGCAGAGAUGUGCUGCUUUUGGAGACCUGGCUGCAUCUUGAGCAGCCCUCUUCUCAGUUUCAAUUUAGUCACACUCAGUGAAAUACUGUCUUGCCUGCUGACGUGCUGUAGAAUCUGGCUUCUGGCCAAAGAUGCCUCGGAAUCAGAAAGUUUAAGAUGAACAUUAAUUCAAACAAUUCAAUGAUAAAUUAAGCAGUCUCCUUCACCUUCUCCUGGCCCUCCCAAGCCCAGGAAGAGAAGCCAAGCAGAGAAUGGUGGGUAGCCAGGCCUUCAGGCCAGGCCACUCUUCCUGCCUUCCAAACCCUAUGGGAUCUAGUGACACUGUGUCAAGUGACCAGCCCUCUUUGCUACCCUUCUGUGUUACGAUUUUGAGUUAACAAAGCCAUCCAAACCAGUUGCCCCCCCAAACCACUGAAGACUCAUCUUCAUGGGCAAGGAGUAGGGCCCAUUGGCUCGAAUACUGACAGAACCCAGUAGCACGGAUAUACUGGGGAUUUGGAAGUUCACUGAACUUGGUUGAGUCACAUGAGUGUGUCAGAAGCAGCUGGGAGGAGAGCCCCAGUGUGACCCUGGAGGCUCCUUCUGGUUUUCCUUGCAAAGGGAUCCACCAUGGCCUGUGCCUGUUCCCAUUUUCUCUUUCUGAAAAGUAGAAAUAAGUGAUUUCUUGACUUCUGAACGCCUCCUCCCCAGAGGAGGAGCCUGGGUGGAUCAGAAGAAGAAAUAGAAGAGUCCUCAGACAUUCUCCUCUGUCCAGCCCUCCACCUCAAGCAUCAGUAUAGACGAAUGAGCAGUGAAAUGGCAGGGCUGGGACCAUCUACAGCGCCUGAAGUGCAGGGGUCAUGGAGGCGCUGCCCUUUGCCCUGGUGUUCUCAGUCCCAAAGGGUAUGUUUCAACUGGCUUAAGGAUCAGGACAGCCUUGCAGUUGCUUUGAUGCCUAAAAGGCCAGACCUCUUGGCUUCACCUUGGGCCCCUGGGUCAGGAAACCUUCCAGAUACUAUUCCAUUGUCCCUGGGUAGAAAGUGUCUCAUUGAGAAGUGAGGCUAAUUCUCCCAAUUCCUUUUCAUGACCAUGAAGUGGCAGCUGGCCAGUUGGGGCUUAUGGGAAAAGACUAGACCUGAGCUGUUAGGCUGAAUAUUAAGUUUGAUGGUAGAGAGGGAGGGAGGCUCCUCAAGGCAGGCCACAUCCAAUUCUCUGGACGCACAGACCCUGGAAGACAGCUUGUGGUGAAACAAGAUAUCUGCCUUAUGUCUGGGGAGAAGGCUUAGGGCAGCGUGUUACUUCUUCAUCUCAUGACCCUAGAAAUCUUCUAGUUAAAAUGCCCUUUAUCCCAAAUCUGGCCUAGGACGGAAGUCUGCAGAAGAACGGUGGUGGUGUGGCCUGCCAGCUGGGGGAGCGGGGAAGGGGACACAGCCCAACACCGUCCCCUUUUGAGCUCUUCCUCCAUGGCUGUUGAUUCUGGCGUAUGGAGUGCAGAGCUGUAAAUCCACAAAUGCUGCAGCGUUACUCUUACAUUAUAACAUGUCUGUGUCCACUUAAGACCUUCAUGACCUGGUUGAGUGUGUGUGUGCCCAUGCGUGUGCAUGUGUGUAUAAUGUAGUUCAUAGUUGACAAUGUUUGUAUAUAAUUGCUGAUGUAUUUAUAUGUGAGUGCAGAAUUAGUGCCUGUGGAAG